rnacentral:rRNA from 1 species
UAGGGAAUCUUCAGCAAUGGACGAAAGUCUGACCGAGCAACGCCGCGUGAGUGAAGAAGGUUUUCGGAUCGUAAAACUCUGUUGUUAGAGAAGAACAAGGACGUUAGUAACUGAACGUCCCCUGACGGUAUCUAACCAGAAAGCCACGGCUAACUACGUGCCAGCAGCCGCGGUAAUACGUAGGUGGCAAGCGUUGUCCGGAUUUAUUGGGCGUAAAGCGAGCGCAGGCGGUUUCUUAAGUCUGAUGUGAAAGCCCCCGGCUCAACCGGGGAGGGUCAUUGGAAACUGGGAGACUUGAGUGCAGAAGAGGAGAGUGGAAUUCCAUGUGUAGCGGUGAAAUGCGUAGAUAUAUGGAGGAACACCAGUGGCGAAGGCGGCUCUCUGGUCUGUAACUGACGCUGAGGAUCGAAAGCGUGGGGAGCAAACAGG